rnacentral:rRNA from 1 species
AGUGAACGCUGGCGGCAUGCCUAACACAUGCAAGUCGAACGGCAGCACAGGAACUUGCUGCUGUUACCGGGGGCGGGACGCGGGCGGGAUACGUAUGCACCGGACCCUACUUUGGGGUGGGGGCUGACGAAGCGGGAUUUAUGCCACUACCGCACACCGCCUACGAGCGGGGGAAGGUGAGCUUCGGAGCUCUCGCGUUGGCAUGUGCCGAUGUCGGAUUAGCUAGUUGGCGGGGUAAAGGCCCACCAAGGCGACGAUCCGUAGCUGGUCUGAGAGGAUGAUCAGCCACACUGGAACUGAGACACGGUCCAGACUCCUACGGGAGGCAGCAGUGGGGAAUAUUGGACAAUGGGCGCAAGCCUGAUCCAGCCAUACCGCGUGGGUGAAGAAGGCCUUCGGGUUGUAAAGCCCUUUUGUUGGGAAAGAAAAGCAGCAGGUUAAUACCCCGCUGUUCUGACGGUACCCAAAGAAUAAGCACCGGCUAACUUCGUG